rnacentral:misc_RNA from 1 species
CCCUGUUUCCUAAAGGUGGGACAGAUGAUUAGGGUGAAGUCGUAACAAGGUAGCCGUAGGAGAACCUGCGGCUGGAUCACCUCCUUUCUAAGGAAUAAACGGAAACCCACACUAUGUCAAAGUUUUGUUUAGUUUUGAGAGGUUUACUCUCAAUUUUGUUCUUUGAAAACUGAAUAAUAUCUAUAAUUUUCUAAUUUUAAUUGUUAAUCAUAAUUAAACCGAGAGAAAACCGCGUAAUUUAAAGAGUUAUAAAACAAGAUUAGUUCAAAGAUUAAUCGCUAAACUCAAUUAAUCACUUUACCGUAGGUAAAGAUAGGUUAAGUUAGGAAGGGCGCAUGGUGAAUGCCUUGGUACUAGGAGCCGAUGAAGGACGGGACUAACACCGAUAUGCCUCGGGGAGCUGUAAGUAAGCUUUGAUCCGGGGAUUUCCGAAUGGGGCAACCCAAUAGUUUUAAUCGACUAUUAUCCGCAUCUGAAUACAUAGGAUGUGUGAAGGUAAACGUGGGGAACUGAAACAUCUCAGUACCCCGCAGGAACAGAAAGAAAAUUCGAUUCCCUGAGUAGCGGCGAGCGAAACGGGAAGAGCCCAAACCAGGAAGCUUGCUUCCUGGGGUUGUAGGACUG